CCUGUUUGACAGGAGUGACGGGCGAUAUGUACAUACUAAAUUUUUAUUUUAUUUUAAAACUUUAAUUUUAAAUUACUUUUAAGUCCGAUGUCGCAUUUCGUUUUUUAGUGUACCCUUCUUUUCAAACAAUGUAUCCCACAAUUCUCUAACGUUUUAUCUUUAUCUUGAUUUGUUUAUUUCUUCUUUUUAGGCUUCAAAUAGACUAGCUAAUCUCUUUCUUACAAUGAUAUAAAAAAUUAAACCGUUAGCUUAUUUAAUCGUGGGUUAUCGAUUACGCAGCAGGAUCCCCUACUAGAUAUUAGUACCGCCAAUAUAGUUGGGUUUCUCUUCUUUAAAUACUCUCCCUUGUUCUUUUAAAA
rnacentral:rRNA from 1 species